rnacentral:rRNA from 1 species
UACAGAGGGUGCAAGCGUUAAUCGGAAUUACUGGGCGUAAAGCGUGCGUAGACGGUUAUUUAAGUCAGGUGUGAAAGCCCCGGGCUCAACCUGGGAAUUGCAUUUGAGACUGAAUAGCUAGGGUGCGGAAGAGGGAAGCGGAAUUUCCGGUGUAGCGGUGAAAUGCGUAGAUAUCGGAAGGAACACCAGUGGCGAAAGCGGCUUCCUGGUCCAGCACCGACGUUCAGGCACGAAAGCGCGGGGAGCAAACAGG